ensembl:lncRNA novel transcript, sense intronic to PTPRM
UAAAAAAAUACUUCUACCUUUAUUGGCAUUGUGUGUGGAAAAAGUGGUCUAUUUAAGGGAAAUACAGGCUAGUAAAAUAUUUGUUAUUUGCACUAGGAGAUAAUUUAAGGAACACCUUCUCAAAUGUCAUCAGACUUACUUUAAAGGCAAACCAAGUCCAAAAGUUCUAAAUUGAGAAAGCUGGAAGGGAAACUUAAAUAUGAUCCAACCCCCUGUUUUAUGACCAGAGGGGAAUGGAUUGGCCAAGAUGUCGGGGAUGGUUAAUAGGACCUCAGGCUCCUGGUCAGUGUGGGGCACUCAGACCCAUGAGUCUAGAAAGCAAAGAACAACUGGAUUCAUGUUUCCUAUGUCAGAGUCCACCCAGUUGCAGUUCCACCUGAGUCCUUCACAGACAUUAAAGGUAGGAUUCACAUCAUGGAAUAAGCAUUUUUCUACUAGCGAUUUGUUUAAUAAAGCUUUAUUGGAAUAUAAUUUGCAUGCCAUAACAUUUCCCCUUUUAGAUGGAAAUAAUAGACACUGGGAACUCCAAAAGAGCAGGGAGGAGAGGGAGGGUUGAAAAAUUACCUGUUGGGUAUAACAUUCGAUUGUAAUCAGUUUCCAGUGUUUUGCAUUCCUACCAGCCGUGUAAUGCACUAUGAACAUUCAUUUGGGGGAUGAAUACCCUAGGAGCCCAAUCCCCACCAUUACAUGUGUAAUACCCAUGUAAUAAACAAGCACAUGUACCCCAAAUAAAAAAAAAUCCCCUUUUAAAGUGUGUCAUUCACUGGUUUUCAGUGUAUUCACAGAGUUAUGCAACCAUCACCACAAACCAAAUGUUUAACAUUUCCAUCACCCACUUAGCCCCCUCAAAGAAAUCCUAGACCUACUAGCAGCCACUCCCCAUUACCCACUUCCAGGCUCUGGCAACCACCCUUCAGCUUCCAGUCUUUAUAGAUUUGCAUGUGCUGGGUGUUUUCAUAGAAAAGGAGUGUGUGCCCUUUUGAAUCUGAUUUCUUUCACUCAGCAGAUUCAUCCAUGCUUCAGUUCAUCCACGUUGUAACAUGGAUUAGUACUUCAUUCCUUUUCAUAGCCAAGUAAUAUUCCACUUUAUGGCUAUACUACAUUUUAUUGAUGUACAUUUGAGUUGUUUACCCUUUUUGGCUGUUAGGAAUAAUGCUCUGUGAACAUUUGUUUACAGAGUUUUUGUGUAUACGUAUGUUUUCAGUUUCCUUAGGUGUACACCCAGUAGUAGAAUUGCUAGGUCAUAUGGGAAUUCUGUGUUUAACCUUUUGAGGAGCUGCCAGACGGUUUUCCAAAGUGGCUGCACCGUUUGACAUUCCCUCCAGCCGUGUAUGAGGGUUCGCUUUCUCCACGCCCUCGCUAACACCUGCGAUUUUCUUGUUAUGUGAGCCUUCUCGUGAAUGUUAUUCCACUGACAUUAAUCUCAUGGCACCGUCAGUGAUUGAAAUGAUCUUCUUGUUCUCUGUCUUCGCCUCUGGAUCAUGACCUUCCCGAGGACUGAAUGUGUCAUAAAAUCCCCAGUCUCUAGCAGUACAUGUGUAUUGAGUUGGAUCACAUGCUGCUGGACCCAUGGCUUGUCAUCAUGUGUACAUGUAGCCGACUUUGACUCUCAACUGUGUCAGUUCUGGGCUAGAGACUGUUACUUUAUACAAAGAGAGAUAAACUGUGUCCCUUGUCCUCAAAUAAAUAGGUUGGACUACUAGGGUAUUUACAAAACAGAGUGUAGGUGAAGAAAAGGAAAUUUCAGUGACAAAUUAGGAGGCACUUAAGAAAUACUGGACGUUUUCAAUUAAUUUGGCAAAAUGAAAAGUAAUAGAUACAUUUCCUUGGUUGUGGCUGUGAUGGGUAGAGACAGUGGUGCUGAACCUCGCUCACACAUGUGAAAGCUUGUCUGCUCCAGAAGUAGAAGAGAGCCUUCCAGUUGCUAAGGCUCUGUCCAGGGCCGGGCUCCUGCCAGGUGGCAGGCAGAGGCUUCCUCAAGCCCUGCGUCCCUCUUCUGGGUUCAGAGACCACUCCCAGGCUUGGUUCUAUCAGCACACUCCAUGCAUACAGGUGCAGAAUGCUCUCCCCGGCCACCCGAGACCACACCUCAGCCAGGACCUUGUGCAGAGCUUGCUUGGGCCAAGGUACACGAUCCAGGAAAGCUGAGCUCAAGAAAAAUGAAUCCAAUGCUGGAUGUGGUGACUCGUGCCUAUAAUCCCAGCUAAUUAGGAGGCUGAGGUGGGAGGAUUGCCUGAGCCCAAGAGUUCGAGGCUGUGUUGAGCCAUGAUUGCACCACCGCACUCCAGCUUGGGUGACAAAGGGCCAUGUUUCUU